rnacentral:rRNA from 1 species
ACCCGCUGAACUUAAGCAUAUCAAUAAGCGGAGGAAAAGAAACCAACAGGGAUUGCUCUAGUAACGGCGAGUGAAGCAGCAAUAGCUCAAAUUUGAAAUCUGGCGUCUUCGACGUCCGAGUUGUAAUUUGUAGAGGAUGCUUCUGAGUGGCCACCGACCUAAGUUCCUUGGAACAGGACGUCAUAGAGGGUGAGAAUCCCGUAUGCGGUCGGAAAGGCGCUCUAUACGUAGCUCCUUCGACGAGUCGAGUUGUUUGGGAAUGCAGCUCUAAAUGGGAGGUAAAUUUCUUCUAAAGCUAAAUAUUGGCCAGAGACCGAUAGCGCACAAGUAGAGUGAUCGAAAGAUGAAAAGCACUUUGGAAAGAGAGUUAAAAAGCACGUGAAAUUGUUAAAAGGGAAGGGAUUGCAACCAGACUUGCUCGCGGUGUUCCGCCGGUCUUCUGACCGGUCUACUCGCCGCGUUGCAGGCCAGCAUCGUCUGGUGCCGCUGGAUAAGACUUGAGGAAUGUAGCUCCCUCGGGAGUGUUAUAGCCUCUUGUGAUGCAGCGAGCGCCGGGCGAGGUCCGCGCUUCGGCUAGGAUGCUGGCGUAAUGGUCGUAAUCCGCCCGUCUUGAAACACGGACCAAGGAGUCUAACAUCUAUGCGAGUGUUCGGGUGUCAAACCCCUACGCGUAAUGAAAGUGAACGGAGGUGAGAACCGCAAGGUGCAUCAUCGACCGAUCCUGAUGUCUUCGGAUGGAUUUGAGUAAGAGCAUAGCUGUUGGGACCCGAAAGAUGGUGAACUAUGCCUGAAUAGGGUGAAGCCAGAGGAAACUCUGGUGGAGGUUCGCAGCGGUUCUGACGUGCAAAUCGAUCGUCAAAUUUGGGUAUAGGGGCGAAAGACUAAUCGAACCAUCUAGUAGCUGGUUCCUGCCGAAGUUUCCCU